CAACGUGCAUUGCCCAGUACGGCGAGUGAAGCGGCAAGAGCUCAAAUUUGAAAGCUGGCUCCUUCGGGGUCCGCAUUGUAAUUUGUAGAGGAUGCUUCGGGAGCGGUCCCCAUCUAAGUGCCCUGGAACGGGACGUCAUAGAGGGUGAGAAUCCCGUAUGGGAUGGGGUGUCCGCGCCCGUGUGAAGCUCCUUCGACGAGUCGAGUCGUUUGGGCUUGUGGUGGAGAGUCCAAAAGCGGAGCAUAGAGACCAUCAGCUCAGGUGGUGAGAGGGAGGCAAACUUCGCGCAACCAGCACAAGCCUCAUUGGUUGAUCCUGUCACACCUCGGGGGGGAGUGGUGCAAGACAGAAAGAACCAAUAAGAAGGAGGGUGGAGAUUACUCCCCAUAUGGAG
rnacentral:rRNA from 1 species